GGGGCUCCGGCACCGGGGCAAGGAGUGCUCAGGAUGGCAGCCAGCAAGGGACACAGAGAGAGAACUCCUCAGCAAACUUCUCAUUUGUCUUGACUGUGCCAUUCGUGGUAUGAAAUAAUCCUCCUGGCAGCCUGGGUCAAGUGCCCGGGUCUCGCUGCUCCUCAUCCCUGCACCUGGCGAGCUGAAAACACUGAGACCUUGAAUCCCACACGCCAUAGCUGGCUGUAAAGUAAAUAUUUUCACAAAUUCAGACACCAGAGUCUUUUAAAAGUGCGGCUUCCCUAAGCCUUAGAAGAGACCUUACUGAAAAGUAAAAUUACUGAAAGAGAAGUUAAUGCCAUUUUGUUCAAACGAGGACAAUAUCAAAGAGCAGGAGACUGAAUAUUAGGAGAAAUUUCUUCACCGAAAGGUUCAUCAAACAUUGGAACAGGCUGCCCAGGGCGGUGGUACAAUCACCUUCCCUGGAGGUAUUUAAAAGCCGUGCAGACGUGAUGCUGAGGGACAUGGGUUAGUGGUGGCUUUGUCAGUGUUGGGUUGAUGGUUGGACUUGAUGGUCUGAAAGGUCCCUUCCAACCUGGAUGAUUCUAUGAGAGGGUGGCAAGAGUGUGUUAGCCCCGUGGUCACAACCUGCCUGUGCAAGCUGAAUCCGGGAGCAAGUCGCUGUACGUUAGGUGUGUCCAUAGUCCAGUCCCUGAUGCCUGUUUCGCUCCUAUUUAUAGGCAGUAUCUGAUUUGACACCAGUUUAUUGCUGGACUUGCAAAUAGCUUUUAUAAAAUGUUUGGUAGCAGGUCGAUACCCUGCUGACAGCCCGUGAGAUGUGCGAGAGGUACCCGGGCAGUAGCUGUUGACGUUUCAUGAUGAAAAAUAUACUCUGGAGAAACCAGUAUUAUCUACUCUGGGAGAAAAGGCUGUAAUUCUGUCUCUCCUUGGGGUGGAUGUUAUGGAUCAGCCUGUGAAGAUUACUCUGAUCCUGGAAAUGGCCGGUGAGCCCUUCUGGUCCCAUUGCAGUGCACUGGAGGGGAUGGAGAUCGGGAUUCCCACCGUGGCCUGGAUUUGCUCUUGGUCUCGCUGUCCUGCACAAGCUCAGACAGCACGAGUGUUACAGAAAGCCCAGCCUGGCCUGCAAAACAUGCCGGUGCCGGAGGUGUUGGACAUCCAGGAGGAAAAGCUGAGCUGGCUCCGGGAGCCGCAGCAGCCCCCCUUCCGCAGCGCUCAGCGAGCGGGGGAACCAAAGUACAAGUCUCUACUCCAGGAACCAUUGCCAAGGAGAUGAUUAUUCAUUAACUCGGGGCGGGUGAUUGGUCAGGCUCUAAAUGAAUUCCUGUGGGCUCCCUUGCACAAGCAGAGCCGUGCUCCUGCCAGCACUCCCGCAGCAGGUCCUGUUCUUCAGCUACACAGGUUCAUGAGGGUCACACAAUUCACAGCACAAAGCACCGGCCUGACCUGCGGAGAGCGAUCCACUGGAGAGCCACGGAGCCGCAGGAAAGCCUUUCAUCUCUGCGUGCGCCUGCCAGUUGGCCACUGCUGUGUCAGAAAUGCCUCUGUUGUUAGUGGGGAACGGGAAUGUGAUAAAGAAGAAUUUCAGAGCACGCCAUAUGCAAAGCCUCAGCUUUCUCCCACCUCCAGAAACCGAUGUGGCUCCAGAACCAGCUGUACGAUAAAAAUUUUCUGUAGCCACCUCCUUCCCCCAGACAUCGUACUCCUCCGUACAUGCCCAGGGUGGAGGCCAGCUUGCGAGAACAGCUGCCACACAAUCAACCUGCAGCAAGAAAAGCAUGGGAAGCAGCCUGGUUUCUGAGGUCUUGCAGAGAGCUGGUUACUUGGAAAUGGGAACUAGACCUGCUAGCCUUGGACACAAUUGAAGCCGUUUAGAGCUGCCCUGGCAUUUUCACUGCAUUCAUUACUGCCGUGCCAGAAGCGCAAACAGAAUUUCAAGGACUCGCGACGAAGAACAGAAAAAUCUAAGCGUGACACCAACCGCAGCCAGCCAUCGCGCAGCUGGGAAGGACAGCGAGCACCAAGCGCUGCCGGAUUGCGGCUGGAAGGGAGCCUGUGAGCCUGCAACGGCCAGUCAUCGCCCGUGCUGGAAGGCAGGCGAAAGGAGAAAUACAAAUAGCAACGGAAGCAGUAACGUAAACAUCUCACAAGGGGGGUCAAAACUGCUUUAUUAUUUUUAUCAGUUGGGUUAGAGUGAAAAAUGAGAUGUGCUCGGAGUGUUUUUGCAAAUAUCUAUCAGGUCUGUGGUUAUGAACUGCUAGGCUUGAUGCAACGCUAAUAGUUGGUAAGCGGUAAAUUACCCACGUAUUUCCUAGACAUGUGAGCUCAGCUCGGAGUGUUAAAUGGUUGUUGUAGUAUUUCCUUAGCAAAGACAGCUACUUCUUUUUUCUCAGUAGCUUUUCCAAGCGGCACUCCUUCCUUUCCCACCUUCUCUCUGGGGGGCUCAGAGGCCAUUAAACACAGAAGCUCCACACACAGGGUUUUUUCUGUGUCCCAGGAGUUGGCUUAGUCAUUUAAUGAUUUUGUAUGCCAAUAUCUAUAUCUCUUUUCCUUCAGGGAGGAGGAAAAGGUAAAAGAUCUUCGAUCCUAACACUAUCUAAGUUAAAGCCAUGCUCCCGUUGAACUCACACGGGGGAUUGGGUAACCUGCAGAGAUUUCUAAGGAAAACUGUCACGGAGCUGAACCCGAAGCUAGAGGUUGCCAUUGGACCUACAUAAUAACUGCCCUGUCUCUGCACUGGAGGUUACCUGGGGCUCCAGGGGGGCAUCGAUGGCACCCCAGUGUCACCCAGGGUAGUGACCAGCCCACAUGAUAACACCCGUGUUAAGCUAGGGACAUCCAGCACCUCUGGAAGGUGUUUCUCCUCUCUGGCAUUUUGCGUGGUUGCUCUGGCGGGACGUGUAAUCUCACUGUCUGGUUGUUGCAGGAAGAAUAUUCUUACUUGGUUUCCAUGUGGCAGCAUUGGACCUGAGACAGCUUGCUCAGAACAUGAGUGCCUGGAGGCUAUGAGUCCUCAGUCAGCUUCAGGAAACACUUCCAGCCAUCCUCGAUGGCCUUCCUUCUCCAAAGCCUCUGCUUAGCAGAGAGGUACCACAAUUUACCUGAAAAGAGGAAAAGCAAGAUGAUCGUCACCUAAGGUUUCCUUGGGUAUUACCCAGCACUAAUGAGUUAGCAAUCGGGUUAGCUAUGAUAUGGCCAAUUUUGAAUACAAACAUAGUUCACCUCACCCCCCCACUGCAGUUAGAAAGUGCCAGCAAGGAUGAAGAAUAAAUACGCCCGCCAUUAAGCUAAUGAGACCCAUAUGCUUGUGCAGUCAAAUAAAAGUGAACUAAAUGUACUGAAGAGCCAAAAAGCAGAUGAAUGAACCGCGACAGACAUCCUGAAAUCAUGUUUAAAUUGCAAAUAUUGAUAUUUCUCACACUUUUUUCCCCAUAUGUAAAUCACAUCUAAAUAAGGCAUCUGGUGGAAGAGAACAUAUUUUUGCCUUUAAGCUCAUCCUCAAAUGAAUGAAGCAAACCCAACUUGAGAGAAUACCUACAGGCUGCUACAAUUACUGCAGUCUGCAGACAGUUGGGGAGUCGCAAACAAGACUUGCCAUCAUGACGGAAGCUGAGCCUGCAAGUAAUUUAUAUCCAAAUCUGCAGAAAUUCAUCUGAGAAUUUUUUCCUAAAAAUGUGAGCCACACAAUUUUCUCCCGGGAUGAAACUGCAAACGUUGGGUUUGGGGAAUCCAGAAAUAGUUGCAGUCAGAAAGCACUUUAAUACCAGAGAAAUUGUCCUCUUUCUUCUGUUUUUUCUACAUGUUACUUAUACAGAAGAAGAAAACAAUGAAAGGAAAACCAAACCACCAGCUUCUAUGCACUUGAUGUUACUUUUACAGGAAAGGUAUAUCUCGGGAAGAAUUUUCCUUCCUUUGCUACAGGGUUGGGCUACUUGUUGCUGUGUGCAUGCUCUUCUAGCGGCUGCUGUCACCGCCAUCUAUUGCUUUGCAUGUCUGACACAUUAACCCAUUUUUCUCAGCCAGUGAUGUCAUUUCAUUGGGCAAAUUAUGUCUUAUAAAUACUGCUGGCAGAAGGCUAUGAGUUUUAGGCUUCCCUCCAGAAGCCAAAAUUCUUCUCCUGCCCUUUGACGGUGCCACUUUGAAUUGAUGGAGCUUACCAGCUAAAUUUGUGGUGGAUGAACCAGCCCUCCUGCCCGCUGAGAUGCGAGGAUGGAGUUUGCAGUCAUGCUGAGCGUGGUUCUUACAGCGUAGACUCCUGGGUGCUGACGUUUGUGAUUAAGAGCAAUGUGGCUGAAUUGUGAAUUUGGGGACUACUCUAAAGGAGACUGGGGACACAGCUCUAUGUGGUGGUGGCUGCUUGGGCUAAGAGGGUUCUU